rnacentral:tRNA from 1 species
UAAGGUGGCUGAAGUAAGCGGUGGAUUGUAGUCCCACAGAUGGAGGUUUUAACCCUUCUCUUAU